UUCGGUAUAGCUUAAGAAAAGCAUUGAUUUUGUAAUUCAAAGUUGGGAGUACCCUUCCGAAU
rnacentral:tRNA from 1 species